rnacentral:rRNA from 1 species
CCUACGGGUGGCAGCAGUGGGGAAUAUUGGGCAAUGGGCGCAAGCCUGACCCAGCAACGCCGCGGGAAGGAAGAAGGCUUUCGGGUUGGAAACUUCUUUUGUCAGGGACGAAGCAAGUGACGGUACCUGACGAAUAAGCCACGGCUAACUACGUGCCAGCAGCCGCGGCAAUACGUAGGGGGCAAGCGUUAUCCGGAUUUAAUGGGUGUAAAGGGCGUGUAGGCGGGACUGCAAGUCAGAUGUGAAAUCCACGGGCUCAACCUGUGGCCUGCAUUUGAAACUGUAGUGCUUGAGUACUGGAGAGGCAGCCGGAAUUCCUAGUGUAGCGGUGAAAUGCGUAGAUAUUAGGAGGAACACCAGUGGCGAAGGCGGUCUGCUGGACAGCAACUGACGCUGAGGCGCGAAAGCGUGGGGAGCAAACAGGAUUAGAUACCCUAGUAGUC